rnacentral:tRNA from 1 species
GCCGGGGUACCCUAGCCAGAGGCUCGAUCCGGCUAAGAAGGGGGCCGGACUCGAGAUCCGGUGGCCCAUUCGGGACGCGUGGGUUCGAAUCCCACCCCCGGCGCCA